rnacentral:rRNA from 1 species
UACGUAGGGGGCUAGCGUUGUCCGGAAUCAUUGGGCGUAAAGAGCGUGUAGGCGGCCAGAUAGGUCCGUUGUGAAAACUGGAGGCUUAACCUCCAGCGGUCGAUGGAAACCAUCUGGCUAGAGUCCGGAAGGGGAGAGUGGAAUUCCUGGUGUAGCGGUGAAAUGCGCAGAUAUCAGGAAGAACACCCGUGGCGAAGGCGGCUCUCUGGGACGGUACUGACGCUGAGACGCGAAAGCGUGGGGAGCGAACAGG